UUACGGAAGGCAGCAGUGGGGAAUCUUGCGCAAUGGGCGAAAGCCUGACGCAGCAACGCCGCGUGUGUGAUGAAGGUCUUCGGAUCGUAAAGCACUGUCGGGAGGGACGAAUAAGGCGCCGGCUAACAUCCGGCGACGAUGACGGUACCUCCAAAGGAAGCACCGGCUAACUCUGUGCCAGCAGCCGCGGUAAUACAGAGGGUGCAAGCGUUGUUCGGAAUUAUUGGGCGUAAAGCGCGUGUAGGCGGCCCCGCAAGUCAGGUGUGAAAGCCCUCGGCUUAACCGAGGAAGUGCGCCUGAAACUACAGGGCUUGAGUACCGGAGAGGGUGGCGGAAUUCCCGGUGUAGAGGUGAAAUUCGUAGAUAUCGGGAGGAACACCAGUGGCGAAGGCGGCCACCUGGACGGCUACUGACGCUGAGACGCGAAAGCGUGGGGAGCAAACAGGAUUAGAUACCCGGGUA
rnacentral:rRNA from 1 species